GGCAACAGUGACUCGGUCGGCUACAGUGGCUCAGUCAUGUUUCGACCUGAAGGCAUAGGAAUAUAUAUUUGUCUCUUUUACCGAUUCAAAGGUCUUGGUACCCGAACACAUUUAAACCAGUUUGCUCGCCGGUCAAGUGCCGUGCGGAAGGGUGAGGGAAUGUUUUUUGUUUUCGCGCCCACUAAAUUACAUUCUAAGAAUGCCACGGAAAAAAACCGACAGAAAAAUAGGGAAGAAAUAAAUAACGAAGAGAUUGAGAUGACUUAAGAUCUUAUAGGUAGCAAUAAAAGUACUAAGAGUCGUGUUGAAUUGUUGAUUAUAAUAAGAAUAGCUUGUGCAGUUUUGUUAUUAUUUCUAAUAAAAAACUACGCGGAAUGGGCAUUUUCUUUUCAUAUAAAUACUGCCGUACCACGUUAAUACUGUGUACCACGGUAGUGAGUCAGUGUGUACACCUAGUAGUCCACAGUGGCUCAAUUAUCAUUUUUUUGUUUUAGGUUCCUACUUUGACAUAAGUAGUAAA